UUGCACGCUUGCAACGACAUGAGCAUUGAAAGUGAAAGUUGUUUUUAUCUGAUCUUACCUGUGUUAGUAGCUUAAUAGUUGAUUUCAUUAUUAUUUCUUGAGGAUUCUAUUUAUUUUGAUAUCCCCAAAGCAUGUUUCCCUCCUUAGUUUUACCUGUUUAUUUCCUAUUAUUCCUUUUUCUAUUCAUUAUAUAACUGCACAGCUUUAUCUGGA
rnacentral:lncRNA from 1 species